GUAGGUGGCAAGCGUUGUCUGGAAUUAUUGGGCGUAAAGCGCGCGCAGGUGGUUCUUUAAGUCUGAUGUGAAAGCCCCCGGCUCAACCGGGGAGGGUCAUUGGAAACUGGGGAACUUGAGUGCAGGAGAGGAAAGUGGAAUUCCACGUGUAGCGGUGAAAUGCGUAGAUAUGUGGAGGAACACCAGUGGCGAAGGCGACUUUCUGGCCUGUAACUGACACUGAGGCGCGAAAGCGUGGGGAGCAAACAGGGAUUAGAUACCCUGGUAGUCCACGCCGUAAACGAUGAGUGCUAAGUGUUGGGGGGGUUUCCCGCCCCUCAGUGCUGCAGCUAACGCAUUAAGCACUCCGCCUGGGGAUACGGUCGCAAGACUG
rnacentral:rRNA from 1 species